AAUUUUCGGCAAUGGGGGCAACCCUGACCGAGCGACGCCGCGUGAGUGAAGAAGGUCUUCGGAUUGUAAAGCUCUGUUGUAAGGGAAGAACCGUACCAGUAGGGAAUGACUGGUACCUGACGGUCCCUUACCAGCAAGCCACGCCUAACUACGUGCCAGCAGCCGCGGUAAUACGUAGGUGGCAAGCGUUAUCCGGAAUUAUUGGGCGUAAAGGGAGCGGAGGCGGCUUAUUAAGACUGGGGUUAAAGUUCGGGGCUCAACCCCGUGAUGCCUUAGAAACUGGUAGGCUAGAGUGCAGGAGAGGUGGGUGGAAUUCCAUGUGUAGCGGUAAAAUGCGUAGAUAUAUGGAGGAACACCAGUGGCGAAGGCGGCUCACUGGCCUGUAACUGACGCUGAGGCUCGAAAGCGUGGGGAGCAAAUAG
rnacentral:rRNA from 1 species